rnacentral:rRNA from 1 species
AUUGAACGCUGGCGGAAUGCUUUACACAUGCAAGUCGAACGGCAGCACGGACUUCGGUCUGGUGGCGAGUGGCGAACGGGUGAGUAAUACAUCGGAACGUGCCCAGUCGUGGGGGAUAACGUAGCGAAAGUUACGCUAAUACCGCAUACGAUCUCUGGAUGAAAGCGGGGGACCGCAAGGCCUCGCGCGAUUGGAGCGGCCGAUGUCAGAUUAGGUAGUUGGUGGGGUAAAGGCCUACCAAGCCGACGAUCUGUAGCUGGUCUGAGAGGACGACCAGCCACACUGGGACUGGGACACGGCCCAGACUCCUACGGGAGGCAGCAGUGGGGAAUUUUGGACAAUGGGCGCAAGCCUGAUCCAGCCAUUCCGCGUGCAGGAUGAAGGCCCUCGGGUUGUAAACUGCUUUUGUACGGAACGAAACGGCGACCUCUAAUACAGGUUGCUAAUGACGGUACUGUAAGAAUAAGCACCGGCUAACUACGUGCCAGCCGCCGCAGUAA